CAAUAAGCGGAGGAAAAGAAACUAACAAGGAUUCCCCUAGUAACGGCGAGUGAAGCGGGAAGAGCUCAAAUUUGAAAUCUGGCAGUCUUCGAUUGUCCGAGUUGUAAUCUAUAGAGGCGUUUUCCGUGCCGGACCGUGUCCAAGUCUCCUGGAAAGGAGUAUCAAAGAGGGUGAUAAUCCCGUACUUAACACGACCACCGGUGCUCUGUGAUACGUCUUCUACGAGUCGAGUUGUUUGGGAAUGCAGCUCAAAAUGGGUGGUGAAUUCCAUCUAAAGCUAAAUAUUGGCGAGAGACCGAUUGCGAACAAGUACCGUGAGGGAAAGAUGAAAAGCACUUUGGAAAGAGAGUUAAACAGUACGUGAAAUUGUUGAAAGGGAAACGAUUGAAGUCAGUCGUGUUCUUUGGAUUCAGCCAGUUCUGCUGGUCUACUUCCUUGGAACGGGUCAACAUCAGUUUUGUCCGGUGGAUAAAGGUAGUAGGAAUGUGACUUCUCCGGAAGUGUUAUAGCCUAUUAUCACAUACACUGGGUGAGACUGAGGACUGCAGCUCGCCUUUAUGGCCGGCCUUCGGGCACGUUCGAGCUUA
rnacentral:rRNA from 1 species